GUGCUCGCUUCAGGAGCACAUAUACUAAACUGGAACAAUACAGAAAAGAUUAGCAUGGUCCCUGCGCAAGGGUGACAUGCACAUUCAUGAAGCGUUCCAAUAAGUG